rnacentral:rRNA from 1 species
GACGAAUGCUGGCGGCGUGCUUAACACAUGCAACUCGAACGGAUAGGCCCUGCUUUUGUGGGGUGCUCGAGUGGCGAACGGGUGAGGAACACGUGAGUAACCUGCCCUUGACUUUGGGAUAACUUCAGGAACCUGGGGCUAAUACCGGAUAGGAGCUCCUGAUGCAUAGUGGGGGAUGGAAAGUUUCGGCGGUUGGGGAUGGACUCGCGGCUUAUCAGCUUGUUGGUGGGGUAGUGGCUUACCAAGGCUUUGACGGGUAGCCGGCCUGAGAGGGUGACCGGCCACAUUGGGACUGAGAUACGGCCCAGACUCCUACGGGAGGCAGCAGUGGGGAAUAUUGCACAAUGGGCGGAAGCCUGAUGCAGCAACGCCGCGUGCGGGAUGACGGCCUUCGGGUUGUAAACCGCUUUCGCCUGUGACGAAGCGUGAGUGACGGUAAUGGGUAAAGAAGCACCGGCUAACUACGUG